GACGAAGGGGGCUAGCGUUGUUCGGAAUUACUGGGCGUAAAGCGCACGUAGGCGGCUUUGCAAGUUAGAGGUGAAAGCCCGGGGCUCAACCCCGGAAUAGCCUUUGAGACUGCAUCGCUAGAAUUGUGGAGAGGUAAGUGGAAUUCCGAGUGUAGAGGUGAAAUUCGUAGAUAUUCGGAAGAACACCAGUGGCGAAGGCGACUUCCUGGCCUGUUCUUGACGCUGAGGCGCGAAAGCUAGGGGAGCAAACGGG
rnacentral:rRNA from 1 species